AAUUCAGUUAGCUAAUAUUUUGUUGAGGAUUUUUGCAUUUAUGUUCAUCAAAGAUAUUGGUAUGGAAUUUUCUUUUUUUAUUAUGUCCUUUCCUGGUUUUGGUAUUAGGGUAAUACUGGGGUAGCAUACUAAAUUUUUAUUUAAUCUGUGUGAGCAGAAAACUUCCAGGUCAAAUCAAUAAAAGUCUAACCCAAAUCAUAAAAGCAGAGAAUCAUGGUCCCUCAAUCAAUUCUCAGACUUGAGCCAGUUUACAAACCCAGAAUCCCUUGAAUGAAGGGGAGGCUGGGUCUCCUCAAGGAAAAACCCUGGUACACUACUGAAAAUGUAUACUGGUGGGUUUUUUUUUGUUUUUGUUUUGUUUUGUUUUUUUAAACUUUUUAUUUGCAUAUUUUAAAAAUUGUGCAUUCUGAUAAUUAAAAUCAUUUGAACAACAACAAAAAAAUGGCACUCUGAUUAAACUGCAUUACAGCCUGCAGGACACCUUGGACCAGCUUGGUUUUACUCUAGAUUUCACUGUCGUCCCAACCCUACUUCUUCCACCCCACUUCUUCCUUCACCAACAUGCAAGUUCUUUCCUUCCCUGCCAGCCAGAUAGACAGAUGGGAAAGGCAGGCGCGGCCUUCGUUGUCAGUAGUUCUUUGAUGUGAAAGGGGCAGCACAGUCAUUUAAACUUGAUCCAACUUCUUUGCAUCUUACAAAGUUAAACAGUUUCUUUGGAAGGCAGUGGAUUUUUCUCUUGCAUCUCUGUCUUCUUCAGUUUCGACUUAUCGAAUUUCUCAAUCUCAGUCAUAUCGGGUUUGUCAAACAUGGUUGCGGAGGAAAAGCGGAGCGAGGCGCACAAAAACGAGCGAAGUCUGGUCUGCGCAGUGGCCACUACCGAGUUGUCCGAAAAUGUAUACUGUUAAUCUUUGUCCCAGCCUCCUCCAAGGGGAUCUGUGGCCUUUUACAGGAGUAACUGUGCAUUGGAGGGAAAAAUCAGAUCUUUCAGGGAGUACUUGUUCUAAACUGACAUUGAUUCCAGGAGACCUGGAACAUCACUAUGGCCGUACACUCAGAGUAGGAGCUUAUGGAGGUCAGGUUACCAAUGGAGUUUUAGCUUAAGUCCAACUUACAGUGGGUUCACUGGGACCCCAAAUGCAUCCUGCAGUUAUUUCCCUAGUUCCAAGGUGCAUAAUUGGAAUUGACAUACUUAGCAGCUGGCAGAAUUCCCACAAUGGUUCCCUUACUAUGGAGAGUGGGAUAUUAUGGUGGGAAAGGUCAAAUGGAAGCCAUUAGAGGCAUUCUACUUAGGAAAAUAGUAAAUCAAAUGCAAUACUUCAUUUCUGGGGGAAUUGCAGAAAUUAGUACCACCAUCAAGUACUUGAAAGAUGCAAAGGUGGUGAUUCCUACCACAUACCUACUCAACUCUCCUAUUUGGCCUGUGUAGAAGACAGAUAGAUCUUAGAGAAUGACAGUGGAUUAUUGUAAGCUUAAUCAAGUGAUGACUCCAAUUGCAGCUGCUGUACCAGAUGUGGUUUCAUUGCUUGAGCAAAUUAACACAUCUUCUGGUACCUGGUAUGCAGCUAUUGACCUGGCAAAUGCCCUUUUCUGCAUCCCUAUCCAUAAGGCCCAUCAGAAGCAGUUUGCUUUCGGCUGAAAAGGCCAGUAAUACACCUUCACUGUUCUGCCUGUGAAGGGGUAUAUCAGCCCUCUAGCCCUAUGUCAUAACUUAGUUUGCAGAUAUCUUGAUCAGUUGACAGAGGAAGAGAAGACUUGGGCCUGGUUUAGAUAGUUCUUCAUGAUAUGAAGGCUCCACCAGAAAGUGGACAGCUACAGCACUACAGCCCCUUUCUGGGACAUCCCUAAAGAACUAUGGUGAAGGAAAAUCCUCCUGGUGGACAGAAUACCAAGUAGUAUACCUGGCUUUUCACUUUGCUUGAAAAGAGAAAGAACCAGACAUGUAAUUAUAGACCAAUUCAUGGAACGUGGCCAGUGGAUUGGCUACAUAGUCAGGGAUUUGGAAGGAACAUGAUUGGGAAACUGAUGACAAAGAAAUACGGGGAAGAGGUAUGUGGAUGGACAUCUGAACUAGCAAAAACUGUGAAGAUAUUUGUGCCUCUAGAUGCAUCCAUGUUGCUGCAAAUGGUACCAUUUUGUUCUUUUUUAAUUGCUGUGUGGUAUGGAAUGGCCUUUUGCAGACACAGUUACAGUAGCAGGUAGAUGACAGUACUUUGCAGGGCUGGGCAAGGUUCUUUGG
ensembl:lncRNA